UCUUGCAAGCUCAGCAGCGCGCUCCCGGAUCCCGAGCGCCGCGCAAACGAAGGGAGGGGGCGGAUCCUCGCUAGCCGCUCCGCUUCCAAGCCAUGGACCGAUCCGAAGCGGAAGAUCCAGACCGGCCGGCGUCGCAGUCGGGAAUCCGCCUGCUCCUGCCCUCCAGAGAGUUCCUGCUGUCCCGUAAAGGGCUACUCCUGCUGGCCGAGGCGGGGCUGUCCUUUAUCAUUUUCAUCUGCUUCAUUGCUUCCAAAGCCUCCUCUUUCUUGACGGUGCCACUGCUCACGUUCCUGCUGGCCCUGUGUUUCUUCUUUGCGUAUUCCUUAAAGCUGAAUGAGAAGUUCAAGGUGACCUACUGGCUUUUGGCGUAUUUCUUGUGCUGCGUCGUCGCCGCUGUUAUCUACUUCGCCAUCUCGAUCGCCGCAGUCUCAAAAUACUCUGACGGGGCAGCGAAGGCAGCCGGAGUCUUUGGCUUUAUCGCGACAAUCGUGUACGCUGUCGAUUUCUACAUGACCUUUAACGGCCUGGUGACAUCACUCAAGCAAAGUGAUUCUUCAGACGCUCCUGAGCAGCAAAGAUCAGAAGAGGAUGUCUCUGACUCAGAUUCAGACUGAAGUGCAAAGCCAUCGAGGAGCAGGAGCCAAGGAUGCUCUCUCUUGUAACCUUUUCACGUACGUGUGUGUGUGUGUGUGUGUGAACGUUCUUCCUCUAAGUGCGGGGAGCAUCACCAAAGCCAAGAUCAGGGGUCAAGGGGAACACGAACAUUCCCGUCUCAUAGGAACUUCCCUUGGGAGAGCAAGAACUGCUGGUGUUUUGAGCCUAACCGUGAUUUCCUUCUACAUUUCCUCACUCAGCACUACAGUGGAUGAACUUUGAAACAUAGAACCUAGGUAAUCUUUUACAAUCUUUCACAAUCAGACACUAUAUAAAACAAAGGCUAGGUGUGUGCACAGUGGCACCCUGCAAGCACGGUACCAAGGUAUAGCACACUUGGCCUUUUGUAAAUGUUAGUAGUCCUUUAAAACAUUCUAGAGGGUUUUUUUAAUCUCAAAAGGUACAGGAAAAUAGAAAUAUUGGACCUGCAUUUGUAACAGCUAUUUUUGUAGAUACAAAAAAGGGGUAAAGAUAAACUGGUGGUUAGGUAUACAUGGCUCGCCAAUGCAAGUAGCAGAUCUGAUGCUGUGUUUUUUUUGUUUUUAAAGGAAAAGCAGCAGCUGGGGGAAGAUAAACAGAGAAGUGGCUUUACCCUUUUUUGUGUGUGUGCCUUCUCCUUCUCCCCUCCAAAUGCUGUACCCGGUUGUUUUCCUUUGACAGGGUGCCAGUUGCAUGUUUAAUAACCUCAAACGUGUUUGGAACCAGAUUGGGAGAGGGGAAGCAGCAGGGGGCAUCUGUAGCGGAGAUAUGGUAGACUGGGGAGUAGCAACCCCUGCUGCUUCUCUGCUUUACUCUCUCAAAGCUGUUUAAAACAACAGCAUCAUAGCACAUAACAGCCACUCUCAUGUGAAUUCCAGCAGCCUGCCUGCAAGGCUGACAUGUAUCUGAUGCUGUGCCAUGUUGCACCAAAGCUUAGCAGCGCAGUAUGAUUUUGGUUACAGGAAUCUUCUUUAUGCUUUGGUCCAGUUUUCAAAAGGGAGGAGGGGCGGAAGCACACGCUUUGCGGAGUAUUGGAUCAAACUGCUAGAAGAAUCUCCGGCAGCAGUGCUGGGAAAGCCCCCUCCCCUACCUUAGAAAGCCAGACAGAGUAGAUUUAUGCUUUACUGAAUGGUCCAGAGGUCAGACUCAGCAUAAGGCAUUCUUCUCAGCUCAAGGUCUGACUUAACAAGUGUUGCAGCAAGAAUAAGGUAUUGGUGGUGAUUGAAAUAAUUCAGUGCUUCAAAAUCAAUGAGCGAGGGCUGCCCAGUCCCUCCCCAUCCUCCAUUAUAUUCCUAGAACUUCUAGCAAUGAGAGGUAGCACAGAUCACAGGCAGGCAUGAUGAUCCAAAACCUCAUCAGUUCCAGCGGUAUAUAUAGCAACAUCACCACCACCACCCCACAAAGAAGCAACAAGACCACUAGGAAAAGUUUCAGCAUCAUUUGGAAACAAGCUGCCCAGGAAUUACAGUGCCUUCGUGGACAAGGAUUGGCUUGUUCCAAAUUGUUCUGCACCCACAAGCACAUCAGUUGUAAGGAUGUACCCAUGAGGUCUGCCUGCUGGUAAAGCUGUCUUGCAGAAAGGGACUACCAGGAAGCCAUGCUAAAUUAGGAUGUGAUCUUCCUUGCAAGUGCCGUGUUGUUCCUAGAAUACAAAAUAGUGCAAUUGUUGCGAGGAUGCAGGGCCAUGCAGCAGUCGCCGUUGUCCCUCCUAACAGCCAUGGUCAAGUGCCUAUGAGGAGGGUAGCAAAACAGGUCAGCUGCAAACAAGGAAUAGAAACGCCAGGCUAGCAGAACCCCCCGCCCCCCAACCCACAGUAG